CUUGCGAUUCCUUUAAGCUUCCAGAUUGUCUUUUCUCAGAAUCGCGAUUCUGCCAUGCUUCCAUGCGAUUCCGGUCGCUUCUGAUUUCGUUUCCGAUUCAGAGUCGGGAAUUGACGGACGGUCUACCGAUGCUUCCGUAAAAACCGCUGGUUAAAUGGUGUGUCUCUCUGGGAAAGCGGUCCAAGGCUUAAAUCAAAGGCUAAAACCGCAUGUGCGUUUUUGUUUUUGUUUUUUUUGGAAAAAUGCAAAUAAUAAAAAAACUUAUGAUUGGUGUAAGGAAAGCGGUUUUCAUAUAAAA